AUACCUUUCUCGGCCUUUUGGCUAAGAUCAAGUGUAGUAUCUGUUCUUAUCAGUUUAAUAUCUGAUACGUGGGCCAUCGGCUCACAUGAUAUUAAAUUAAUUUUUGAAGGGGGGAGGGUCCACAAGGGUAGCUUGCUAUCUGGGCCUUCGGACGUCGCCCUGGCCUUUCACUGCUGCCUGGGCCUGGCGUACCCCAU